rnacentral:lncRNA from 1 species
CUUUUCCUGUUUAUAGACUGAUUUCGUAAAUUUUAUCAAUGAAACAUCUUAAGUACUAGUCAUUGGGUUGACAACUGUUGUAUAUAAGUGGACUUGUUUUGCAAGCAUUUUAUUGAUAGUGGAUAGCAAAACAAUACCAAUGCAAGAUUAGUCAGAAAAAGAAGAAGGAUUUAAUUUCUUAUUAUCUGAAAAAGAACUGAACGACGAUAAAUAUCUGGAGAGGAUAAUGUGUUCCUCACAAAGGAUUUCAGUUGUUAUUAUUGCAAUUAUACUGAUAUGGAAGAUCUCACAGGCAGAGAGCCAGCUAUGUCGGGUUACACGUCGCGGCUGCAGGGACACCAUAUUGGAUCGUUGGGGCAGAGGUCGGUGUGCUAGACUUGGCGACAUAUUAGAUAAAAUUAUGAGAUGUCACCGGUAUGGUUCACGUUGCCGAUGCAACUCAAUUGGCAAUAAACCGGGGAAUAUUGGAACAGAUUAUGACGGGUCUGAAUACUAUGACAAUUUUUUGUAUUCUGAAAUAUAUUAAACAGUUUUACAAAAAUCAAAAUGGCUACAAUAUUACAUUCCUUUAAAAUUUGGAAACAUUCUGCUUCUCGUUAGACUAAUAGUGCCAAAAUGGGAGGAUAUUUGAACAUUAAUGUUCUGUGUUUAUUAAACAAACUUUGAGAAUAUGAGAUUUAAUAUCAAUUGAUUUUUGUUUAAAUUAUCUUAUUACAGUACACAAAGAUGUAUCUUUUGUUGAUAUAUACUUUAAAGAAGCACCACAAAAUAAUUGUAUUCUUUUGUAUUUCCAUGAUGGUAAUUAUAUAUGCUUUGAAUGAAGAAAAUGAGUAUACAUACAAACAAAUUGACAGUGACAUGUAUAGGGCCAGAACAAUGUGUUUAAUAUCUAAAUAUAGAAUUAAAUCAAUGUAGUAGUAUGCUCAGUACUUGAUGUAUUAAGUUGAGUUUAGACCACACUUCUACAGUGAAAAUUAUUAUUCUAUGUUUAUAAAACUAUACUUAAAAGAGAAUGACUGAAUAAGUUUGAAGUUGCGAAAACACAUUAAUUCAAGGAGGGCCUAAAUUGUCCACCUUUCACCUUGUAGAAUAUCUCUAUUAUACAGGUAUUAUCAGAAUAAUUUGCACGAAGUACAUAUGGGAGGAAAAAGUAGGUCACUAGGUCGUGGUAGGUCUUUAAGUAUCAUAAUUAAUGUACUGUUGAAUGUUGUUUUUUUAGCCGCAAGUUUUUAUUUCCCUGUAUAUACAUGACACCUAAUUUGUUAAACGAUAACACAGCAUCGCAAAAAUAUAAUAUUUAUCUCAACAUUGUAGAAAACGUUUCGAACUUGAAGAUGUAAUUAAAGACAAUAUAUCAGAAAAAGCAUUGAAACAUUCUACAUGUAUUUGCUAUGUUUUUCUUUCUUACGUACAGGAAACAUGUUGCUCCUUUUGUGCAUGAAAAAAAAAAUAACAAUGAGCACUUAAGUUUUAUAUUGAAGGUUUUGAAAGUACCAGCAGAUGAUAAGUCUAAGUCAGGUACAUGCUUUUGUUUUUUAUUGCAGUUAUUUCAGUGGAAUUCGACUGUUCCUAAAACAACCAUGAUUUCUAUGCUUAAUAGUGUAUCGAUUUCUGAAAAUUGCCUUACAAGAACAUUUGUUGUGUUGGUCAUUUACCAGACAUUGCUUUGAAAGAAACAUUUUACGUGGUGGAUAAUAUACAUAAUAAGACACAAUACACACAUGUGAUGAAUAGCAGAAAGAGCUAAUGGGUAACUUAUGUAAUGAAAUAUCUAUUAACAUAGUGAGGAAUUUAGCUCGCCUGCUAAGCUCAGUAAACAGAGCGCAGAUCUAUGGAUCGCUAGGUCGUGAGUUCGAUCCAAGGGCGAUCCGUAUGUUCUCCGUGACGAUUUGUUACGACAUUGUGUCCUUCACUGAUUCGUGUUGGGAAGUUGAUGACAGUUAGUUACGGAGAACAGGCUUGUACUGGUACUGAAUCCAGGAACGCUGGUUAGGUUAUCCCUCCGCCGUUACAUAACUUAAAUACUGUUGAAAAACAAACAAAUACAAAGAACAAUAUAGAUUAAGCAAUACAUGGCAAUAUACAGGCAAACCAUCUGGUACGGUAUAAUAUAGAUCAAGCUGUAUAUGUGUGGAUUGCAGUGUCCUUGGAAUUUGGGUUUUACGUUGCAUUUUCUCUGGUACUUACUUUACUACUAACAAGAUUUUAAAUAACUUGAACCAGUCCCAACUUACAUUGUAGUUUUUGGCCAAAAUGGCACAGUUUCAGUGAAACAGUCUAGGUAUAGUUUAUCCAUGACCGAGGCCCCUUACUUUUGAAAAUCAGCAAAACGAAACCAAACACAAUCUAUACCGUAUAAUGUGAUGUAAAAUUGUUCUUUUUGAGUGUAGUAAAAACACGCUCACAAAACAAUUUCUAUUGUGUUUAAAAAGGAUACUAUCUCAUACAAUAUUUUCAUUUGCCUUCUUGGCUAAGUGGUCAAGAUGCCCAAAACUGCCUGCAAAAAGAGAUCUUCCUCUACCACCAUAAACUGAAGUCGCCAUAAUACCGUAUAGCGGGUUAUUUCUACGGGGGGAAUAUUUCUGCGAUUCUGCGGUCUCUCGGUAAAAUCGCAAAAAUAUUUCCAGCAGAAUAUUCAUCCAACAAAAAUUUAAAACGUAAAAAAAAUCUGCAUUGUUUUCAUCAACGUUGUUUCACGAUAUGUUUCCCACGGUUAUCCGAAGUUCACAUUUGCAUGGUCUAAUUAUUUGAAAUGACCGUCGUCAUCUAACAAUUACCGAUAAUGAUAUAAUUAGGUGUGAUGGUCAAUCAAAAUCCUAACUGUUAAUCCCUUAGAAAACGUUUCUUUAUUUUGUUUCUUUGUUAGAUUUUUUGUGAAUGUAAUAUACUGAGUGAAUUUCA